UACGGAGGGUGCGAGCGUUGUUCGGAAUCACUGGGCGUAAAGCGCGUGUAGGCGGCUUCUUAAGUCUGGUGUGAAAUCCCGGGGCUCACCCCCGGAAGUGCACUGGAUACUGGGAAGCUCGAGUACCGGAGAGGAGGGUGGAAUUCCUGGUGUAGCGGUGAAAUGCGUAGAUAUCAGGAGGAACACCGGUGGCGAAGGCGGGUCUCUGGGCCGAUACUGACGCUGAGGAGCGAAAGCGUGGGGAGCGAACAGG
rnacentral:rRNA from 1 species